rnacentral:rRNA from 1 species
ACAGUUCAUAUGGAGUUACAAAACGGUUAGAUAACUGAAACGCCUGGGAAGGUGUGCCACAGAUGGUGAUAGCCCAGUAAGUGACAUCGAGCCGACUCCGAACUGUAUCCUGAGUAGUGCGGGACACGAGAAAUCCCGUGUGAAUCUGGGAAGACCACUUUCCAAGGCUAAAUACUCCAGGCGACCGAUAGCGUAUAGUACCGUGAGGGAAAGGUGAAAUAGUACCCCGAAAGGGGAGUGAAAUAGUUCCUGAAACCGCAUGCUUACAAGCAGUUGGAGCCAGUUUACUGGUGACAGCGUGCCUAUUGAAGAAUGAGCCUACGAGUUACGUUCAGUGGCAAGGUUAAGCGAUGAGAGUCGCGGAGCCGAAGCGAAAGCGAGUCUGAAUAGGGCCAUAAGUGGCUGGACGUAGACCCGAAACCGAGUGAUCUACCCAUGGGCAGAGUGAAGCGGGAGUAAUGCCCCGUGGAGGCUCGAACCUUCCUACGUUGCAAAGUAGUUGGAUGACCUGUGGGUAGCGGUGAAAUGCCAAUCGAACUCGGAGAUAGCUGGUUCUCCUCGAAAUGUAUCUAGGUACAGCCUCGUGUGUUUUCUUCUGGGGGUAUGGCUCUGAAUGGACUAGGGGGCAUAGCGCUUACCAAACCCAAUCAAACCGGGAAUACCAGAAGAUUAGAACACGGGAGUGAGACUGCGGGAGCUAACUUCCGUAGUCAAGAGGGAAACAACCCAGACCCCCGGCUAAGGUCCCUAAAUCCAUGCUCAGUGUGCAAGGAUGUCCAGUUGCAUAGACAACCAGGAUGUUGGCUUAGAAGCAGCCAUCAUUUAAAGAGUGCGUAACUGCUCACUGGUCGAGUGGCCGGGCGCCGACAAUGUAACGGGGCUUAAGCAUGGUACCGAAGCUAGGGGACCGCUUUUUAGCGGUCGGUAGAGGAGCGUUCUGUAUGCAAUGAAGCUGUGCGGGUGACCGUCGGUGGAGCGUCCAGAAGUGAGAAUGUAGGCAUGAGUAGCGAAAUUCAGGUGAGAACCCUGAACGCCGUAAGCCCGAGGGAUCCUACGCAAAGCUAAUCCGCGUAGAGUUAGGCGGGCCUAAGCUGAGGGCGAGAGCCGUAAGCGAUGGACAGCAGGUAAGUAUUCCUGCCCCACCAUAUGGGCGUUUGAGAUAUGAGGUGUGACCCGGAAGGAUAGACAGAGCGGAUCCUGUGGACAUGGUCCGUUUCUGCACCGUAGGCGUCUGGCGAUAGGAAAAUCCGUUGCCAGGUUAAGCGGAGGGUGCGGAGGGUAGUGGAGACUUUGUCAAAGCGACUCUGUUGAGUCCAUGCCGGCUAGAAAAGCAUCGAUAUCGAGUGCAUAUGGUGCCCGUACCGCAAACCGACACAGGUGGGCGACGGUAAGUACCGUAAGGCGAACGAGAGAACCUUCGUUAAGGAACUCGGCAAAAUAGCUCCGUAACUUCGGGAGAAGGAGCGCCCUUGUGAGUGAAGCACUUUACGUGCCGAGCAUUACGAGGGCCGCAGUGAGCAGGCCCAGGCGACUGUUUAACAAAAACACAGGUCUCUGCUAACCGGUAACGGGAUGUAUAGGGGCUGACGCCUGCCCAGUGCCGGAAGGUUAAGGAGAUGGCUGAGAGGCCAGAACUGAAGCCCCGGUGAACGGCGGCCGUAACUAUAACGGUCCUAAGGUAGCGAAAUUCCUUGUCGGGUAAGUUCCGACCCGCACGAAUGGCGUAACGAUCUGGGCACUGUCUCAACGAAGGACUCGGCGAAAUUGAGAUGGCCGUGAAGACGCGGCCUACCCGCAGCAGGACAAAUAGACCCCGUGGAGCUUUACUGCAGUUUGGCGCUGGCGUAUGUGAUUAGUUGUAUAGCAUAUGGGGGAGGCUUUGAACCGUGGCCGCUAGGCUGCGGGGAGCCACCAGUGGAAUACCCCACCUCUAAUUUUGUACUCCUCACCAGUGAGCAAGCACUGGGACAGCGCCUGAUGGGCAGUUUGACUGGGGCGGUCGCCUCCGAAAGAGUAACGGAGGCGCGCAAUGGUUCCCUCAAGGUGGAUGGUAAUCACCUGUUGAGUGCAUUGGCAUAAGGGAGCUUGACUGCAAGACUGACAAGUCGAGCAGGGGCGAAAGCCGGCCAAAGUGAUCCUAUGGUCCCGAGUGGAAGGGCCAUGGCUUAACGGAUAGAAGCUACCCCGGGGAUAACAGGCUGAUCCUUCCCAAGAGUUCACAUCGACGGAAGGGUUUGGCACCUCGAUGUCGGCUCGUCGCAUCCUGGGGCUGAAGA